UACGAACUGUGCAAACGUUAUUCGGAUUCACUGGGCUUAAAGGGUGCGUAGGCGGCGCGGUAAGUCGGGUGUGAAAUCUCGGGGCUUAACUCCGAAACUGCAUUCGAUACUGCCGUGCUUGAGGACUGGAGAGGAGACUGGAAUUUACGGUGUAGCGGUGAAAUGCGUAGAUAUCGUAAGGAAGACCAGUGGCGAAGGCGGGUCUCUGGACAGUUCCUGACGCUGAGGCACGAAGGCCAGGGGAGCAAACGGG
rnacentral:rRNA from 1 species